AUUGAACGCUGGCGGCAUGCUUUACACAUGCAAGUCGAACGGCAGCGCGGGCUUCGGCCUGGCGGCGAGUGGCGAACGGGUGAGUAAUGCAUCGGAACGUGCCCAGUAGUGGGGGAUAGCCCGGCGAAAGCCGGAUUAAUACCGCAUACGACCUGAGGGUGAAAGCGGGGGACCGAAAGGCCUCGCGCUAUUGGAGCGGCCGAUGUCGGAUUAGCUAGUUGGUGGGGUAAAGGCUUACCAAGGCGACGAUCCGUAGCUGGUCUGAGAGGACGACCAGCCACACUGGGACUGAGACACGGCCCAGACUCCUACGGGAGGCAGCAGUGGGGAAUUUUGGACAAUGGGGGCAACCCUGAUCCAGUCAUGCCGCGUGCGGGAAGAAGGCCUUCGGGUUGUAAACCGCUUUUGUUCGGGAAGAAAUCCUCUGGGCUAAUACCCCGGGGGGAUGACGGUACCGGAAGAAUAAGCACCGGCUAACUACGUG
rnacentral:rRNA from 1 species